UACAGAGGGUGCAAGCGUUGUUCGGAAUUAUUGGGCGUAAAGCGCGUGUAGGCGGCUUUGCAAGUCGGAUGUGAAAUCCCCAGGCUCAACUUGGGAACUGCAUCCGAUACUGGAUGGCUUGAAUUCGGGGAGAGGGAUGCAGAAUUCCAGGUGUAGCGGUGAAAUGCGUAGAUAUCUGGAGGAAUACCGGUGGCGAAGGCGGCAUCCUGGACCGACAUUGACGCUGAGGAGCGAAAGCUAGGGGAGCAAACGGG
rnacentral:rRNA from 1 species